rnacentral:lncRNA from 1 species
GCCCCAUGCUCUUUAUGGCCAUUGCACAGCACUAACGUGCUGCCUCCAACAAACACCCAUUGAAAUUGCAUUUACAAUAGUGGCUUAUAUUCUUGCCAGGAUUGGUCAAAGCCAAUGUACAGAAUAGGAGUUUGGACAGACUGGGGAAAAUCUGUGGGCAGACCCAACCUUGUGAUAGGAGAAAAAUAGGCUGACAGGACAUCAUGGCUCAUUGUCUGCCAUUUGCCAUUCUGUAAAGCAGAGCCCACAGCCUACCAUUCCAGGGUGUGCCUCAGACAUGAUAGUGAAGGAAGAAAGCCCAGGACCUGCAAGCUACACUAUGGAAAAUAAGUGCCACAUGGCAAGGAACUGAGGGUGGCUGCAACUCACAACCAACAAGGAAAAAACUCUUGAAAAAAUGAAUUCUGCCAAUAACGUGAGUGAGCUUGGAAGCAGAUCCUUUUCCACUUGAACAUUCAGAUGAGACCACACCCCUGGCUGGGAACUUCAUCAUAGCCCAUGAGAGACAUUGAAUCAAAAGACUCAGCCCAAUUGUACCUGGGCUUCUCAUCCACAUAAUCUGUAAGAUAAUAAACAUGUAUUUUAUUAAGUCUCUAGUUUGUGGUAGUUUUAUGCAGCAAUAGUUAAUAACCCAUAUUUGAGGGUUCUGGUAGGCAUGCAAAACAUCCUCACCACCUCCUUAAAGGAUGCAUCCAAAAUUUCCAUCAUCUUGGCCUAAGACUCAAAGUCCUGAAUGUCAUCAUUAUUUGUACAUAAGUUUCAGAUGGACUAUUAUUUAAUCUAGAGACCUGCAACUAAAAAUCG